rnacentral:rRNA from 1 species
CCUACGGGAGGCAGCAGUGGUGGAUAUUGCACAAUGGGGGAAACCCUGAUGCAGCGACGCCGCGUGAGUGAAGAAGUAUUUCGGUAUGUAAAGCUCUAUCAGCAGGGAAGAAAAUGACGGUACCUGAUUAAGAAGCCCCGGCUAACUACGUGCCAGCAGCCGCGGUAAUACGUAGGGGGCAAGCGUUAUCCGGCUUUAUUGGGUGUAAAGGGAGCGUAGACGGCAGCACAAGUCUGGAGUGAAAUGCCGGGGCUUAACCCCGGGACUGCUUUGGAAACUGUGCAGCUUGAGUGCAGGAGAGGUAAGUGGAAUUCCUAGUGUAGCGGUGAAAUGCGUAGAUAUUAGGAGGAACACCAGUGGCGAAGGCGGCUUACUGGACUGUAACUGACGUUGAGGCUCGAAAGCGUGGGGAGCAAACAGGAUUAGAUACCCCAGUAGUC